AACAGGUUUUGUACAAGUCUUCUAAAUUUGUCUUAGGAUUUCCUGCCUGUUU
rnacentral:tRNA from 1 species